GUGGGCCGUGGAACGUCGUGAUCCACCCGAGCCCCCGGCUGUGGAUGGUGUGUCCCGGGGAGCCUUACCGGGGACAGCACCGAGGAAACACAUUGUGAUGGCUGAGCUGAGAAGACAUUUUAAACAGUUCGCUAAGGCAGAUUUUGCUUCAAAAGCGUGAAACCGCCUUCUCCAGCCUUGAAACUUACAAGAAAACAGAGUUCUUUCCCCAUGGGAUAUUUCUUAUAAAUCUUACAGCUUAGUUCACAACAAAACGGGAAGCACAUGGUAGCAGCCGCCACAAUGUUAAUAUCCACAAAAAAAGAUACUAAAACCUCUGAAUAUCCUGGGAAAAUAUGCCUAUUUAAUCCUGGUAGUUCAAGUCACCUCCCUUCAGCACUUCUACUUAACCACUGAGAGGGGUCUUCCUGGAAAGCCCAAAACACUCAGGGUGCAUUGUGCCACAAGUAGAAGUGUUAAAGAGUGCAGCUCUGGCCUACUUUGUGUGCCUGCCUGGGAAGAAGUCCUGCUCCUGUCAGGUGUCUUGGGAGGUUUUUUAAAAUACGCUGUCAUGAAGAAUUAGUCACAAUUUCACCUUGCACAUACUGCAAACUCUCCUUUCAGUGUGUGGCUUGGUGCCGUGGCGGAAGGUGUGUGGACACUGUAGAGGACAGCAGUGUAGCCUGGAGUAUGUAAAGGAGCCAAACUAGAGCUAAUGUUUUGCAACAUGCAUGGAAGGAUCUCUGCUGAGACCAUGAUAUACUGAGUAUUGCUGACAGCAAAUGAUUUCGAAGUGCUGCUGGUGCUGGUGGUUCUCCACCUGUAGCUGAGCUGCCUUGUGACUGUUCCAACAAUAUAAACAGGCAUUCAUCCUGUGUAUAAAAUGCCAGUAGCUCUUCUUCCAAAAGUUUGUUUUUCCAUAGCAUUUUUCCAUCUGUGUUUUCAAAAUAAAUGAAGGCAUCCAACCUUGUUUUAAAGUUACUUGCAGAGAGACUAACCAGAAAAGCUUCUCUGCAAUGAAAGAAUGGAAAUACAAAUCAAAGAAAGAGUGUGGUGGGGUGGUGGUUUGUAUGUCUAGGAAAGAAAUCUAAGCUUCUUGAGUUUUAACUGCCAAGAAAGAAGAGACACUGUGACCUUUCUGAUAGGACUUCUUGCUCUCAACUGAUCUCUGUUCAUAGAGUUCACAGAGCUGAAGCAGAGGAAGAAGAGUGUCAAAUGUUCUUCAUGCCUUAUAUUUAAAGUAACAGGUUUUUUUUCCCUAGACCUGAUGCUUCCUUCCAUCUCUUGCAUCAGCUAGUCAAUAUAAAAACAUAUUAUUUUUGUGUGUGUUGUAAGAAUUGUUUUUCUUAUGGGUAGCACUGUAAGAACACUCGAAAAGUUUCCAGGAAAUCCCUCCCUCCAGAAAAACAUAACUUAUGCAUACAAUGAGUUCUACUGGUCUGUGAUAUUCCUGGGGAAAUGCAGUAGAAACUUCCAGUGUCUGCUUUUGACAUUCCCGUCUGAGUAGGGAACUUUAUUAGUUAUUAAUGUAACUGGCAGGGUUGUGUAGAAAGGUAUGAGGUUUUGAUCAUUUACUUUGGUUUGGUUCCAUUUGUUCACAAUGGUUACUGUUGUGCACUGUGGAUUUAAUCUGACUUUUCUAUUGGUUUUAUUCUUUUAUGAAUUAGCUGGGUUUUUGUUGCAGCAUCAGCUGUUCUGUAACUUUUAAGGACAUUGGAAUGAAAUUAAAUAAAAAUACGUGUUCUUUAAUAACAUUCACUUUUUGGAAUUUACUGUCUUACAGAAUUGCAUCUGUAUUUCUUACAGGGUACAGGUCCUAGAACAUCCUUUCUCUCAAAUAUAUACAAUUUUUCUUCCCUUCAACCUCCCUUUAGAUUCAGACAUACCCAUAUUUAUUUUCAAUUAUACCGGUAAUUGAUAGUUCUCUUCACGAUUGAGAUUUCUUGUCACUUUUUUCUUAUGAAAGCCUGAUUUUAGAGGCUUUUGUUUAAGUGGGAUGAUUAUGGCCCAAGCUGACCUCAAUGGUGUAAGGUGAAUGUAAAAGCUGAACUUUGCACUUAUGAGCUCACAAGACAAAUCUGUGACAGCAUGUCUGGUUUUGUAGCCUUUAUAAAUAUUAGCAAAUUAUAUGUGGCAGCAAUAGUAAAAGGGUGUUGUCAAGAUUGUCCCCCAGCUCAUUUGCUUAAAUGCAUGCUAUGAAACAGCUGUGGCAGAACUACAGGAGGCAAAUGCUGUGGGUUUUGAACCAAUUUCUGAUUUGAGGUGAUCUGGUAAAUGGCUUUCAGUUCUUGGGGUUAGUAGUGCUGGUGAGCUGCAAGAGCUAUAGAAAUGCAGUUCUGUAACCUGGCUUGCCUUCACUUUGCACAUCCACAUUUUUGGCUUGGUCGCAGAGUGCAGAUAAUGUCAAAUUAGGAACUUUAAACAAUAAAUAUGUUUAAUGAUCCAAGUGCCUCUGAUUUCUUGUGUUACGCUUACUAGAAAAAAAACCCCAAAAGUGCGAGCAGGGGUAACAGGAAGGAACACACAGUCCUUGUUAAGGAUGAACAUAGCCUUGGGGGCAUCAAAAAGCUUUUCUUUAUAGAGUUGUUCAGGGAGGGUGGGGUUUUUUUGCUUUGUUUUUUCUUAGUGCUUUCUACUCCCUCUUCUUCAUUCUGCAGUAAGAUUACUGCUGAUCUUUUUGGCAUAUUGUAAACCCCCCAGCUCUGUUCCCAGGCCUUUGAGGAGGAGGAGGGAAGCUGAGGGCUGGGGGAAUAUUGGGCUUGGGAUUACAUAGCAAAGAGGUUUAUUUUCCCUUUGCACAUACAGGAAAUUACUAGGAUUGCUUGUGUUUUUGAUGUUAAUUUGUCUUUCUUAAUAUAUGUCUAGCUGCCUAGAGCUUUUGAUGUUUGCAUAAAAUUAAAUAAACCUACAGAUUGGAAAAA